rnacentral:rRNA from 1 species
GAUGAACGCUAGCUACAGGCUUAACACAUGCAAGUCGAGGGGAAACGACAUCGAAAGCUUGCUUUUGAUGGGCGUCGACCGGCGCACGGGUGAGUAACGCGUAUCCAACCUGCCCACCACUUGGGGAUAACCUUGCGAAAGUAAGACUAAUACCCAAUGAUAUCUCUAGAAGACAUCUGAAAGAGAUUAAAGAUUUAUCGGUGAUGGAUGGGGAUGCGUCUGAUUAGCUUGUUGGCGGGGUAACGGCCCACCAAGGCUACGAUCAGUAGGGGUUAUGGGAGGAAGGUCCCCCACAUGGGAACUGAGACACGGUCCAAACUCCUACGGGAGGCAGCAGUGAGGAAUAUUGGUAAAUGGGCGAGAGCCUGAACCAGCCAAGUAGCGUGCAGGAUGACGGCCCUAUGGGUUGUAAACUGCUAUUAUAAGGGAAUAAAGUGAGCCUCGUGAGGCUUUUUGCAUGUACCUUAUGAAUAAGGACCGGCUAAUUCCGUGCCAGCCGCCGCGGUAA